UUACUCUAGCUGCUAACCAGGCCUUA
rnacentral:piRNA from 1 species